AUUGAACGCUGGCGGCAGGCUUAACACAUGCAAGUCGAGCGGAGAUGAGGUGCUUGCACCUUAUCUUAGCGGCGGACGGGUGAGUAAUGCUUAGGAAUCUGCCUAUUAGUGGGGGACAACAUUCCGAAAGGAAUGCUAAUACCGCAUACGUCCUACGGGAGAAAGCAGGGGAUCUUCGGACCUUGCGCUAAUAGAUGAGCCUAAGUCGGAUUAGCUAGUUGGUGGGGUAAAGGCCUACCAAGGCGACGAUCUGUAGCGGGUCUGAGAGGAUGAUCCGCCGCACUGGGACUGAGACACGGCCCAGACUCCUACGGGAGGCAGCAGUGGGGAAUAUUGUACAAUGGGCGGAAGCCUGAUCCAGCCAUGCCGCGUGUGUGAAGAAGGCCUUUUGGUUGUAAAGCACUUUAAGCGAGGAGGAGGCUACCUAGAUUAAUACUCUGGGAUAGUGGACGUUACUCGCAGAAUAAGCACCGGCUAACUCUGUGCCAGCCGCCGCAGUAAAAC
rnacentral:rRNA from 1 species